rnacentral:misc_RNA from 1 species
GAUGAAGAACGUAGCGAAAUGCGAUAAGUAAUGUGAAUUGCAGAAUUCCGUGAAUCAUCGAAUCUUUGAACGCACAUUGCGCCCCCUGGCAUUCCGGGGGGCAUGCCUGUCCGAGCGUCAUUUCUGCCCUCCAGCCCGGCUGGGUGUUGGGCGCUGUCCCCCCGGGGACACGCCCCAAAGGCAGUGGCGGCGCCGCGUCGGGUCCUCGAGCGUAUGGGGCUUUGUCACCCGCUCGGGACGGACUCGUCGGCGCUGGUCUUCCUCCAGGCGACCCUUCGGGGCUCGUCUUCCUUCGGUUGACCUCGGAUCAGGUAGGGUUACCCGCUGAACUUAAGCAUAUCAAUAAGCGGAGA